UACGGGGGGGGCAAGCGUUGUUCGGAAUUACUGGGCGUAAAGGGCUCGUAGGUGGCCAACUAAGUCAGACGUGAAAUCCCUCAGCUUAACUGGGGAACUGCGUCUGAUACUGGAUGGCUUGAGUUUGGGAGAGGGAUGCGGAAUUCCAGGUGUAGCGGUGAAAUGCGUAGAUAUCUGGAGGAACACCGGUGGCGAAGGCGGGUUACUGGGCUGAUACUGACGCUGAUGCGCGAAAGCGUGGGGAGCAAACAGG
rnacentral:rRNA from 1 species